CUUUGGUCUGACCCAGUAGGGCCGUUCUUAUGUUCCUGAGUACCACAAGAAGCAGUCAGAAUCCCAGCACUACUUCUUUAAUAGAUUUGACACUUAUCUGUUACUCUCCAGUGUGGCACAGAAUUUGUGCAAGGGAGAGUUAAAAAGUCUCAACAUAGCAAAAUACUUCAGCACAAGAGUGAAGGACUUCUCACCCCAUCCCCCCCCCCCCGGAAAAAACUUAGUACAAAAUUAAUCCCCCUCAAACCAAGUGAGCCUUGCCAGCUCUGACACUGCAGUUAGCUGGUGCUGUGUGCCCUCAAGGAGUGUCGUGCUAAUUUUGGAGCAUCUUUUCUGGCAAAAGACUUUUUCCCCCUUUCAUUCCAGCUGGAACUUCUUGGAAGCAAGCCUAUUUGUUUCCUUGGUUGGAUUUAAAUAUUUGUGUCUGCAUCACAUCAGAUAAAUCAGACAGUGAAAUUCCGAACGCCCCAUGUAGCUGUCAUUUUAAUUUAUCUUCCAAGUUGGGUUUGUGAUCUGCAACAACAAACAAGGAUUUCUACAAUUAAACAAUUAUUGCACAAAGGAAAUUAGGCUGAAUGCAGUUGGAAGUUAAUAAUCUUUUAAAAUUAAACCUACAGGCAAUGUAGCAGUUGUGCUGCAAAAAGCACCUUACUUCAAUGCUUUGAGUGGAAGGGAGUGUGCCCUAUUGGUUAGAGCAGCUGACUGGGCCUUAGGAUUCUUGUGUUAUAGCCCAGGCUCUGUCACUCAUUUGUUGUGCAAGCCACUUAACUUCUCUGUACACAAUUUACUCCGAUGUAAAAUACGGCUAAUCUUAAUUUAUACAGGGGUCGUGAGGUUUAGUAUAUGUAAAAUGCCUAGAGGUGCUGUGAUAAAAGAUGCUUUGGAGGAAGUAUGAUGAUUGUUUAUUUAGUAUAUUCUUUUGGUCGGAACGGUGGGCCAGAUCCUCAGCCUAACUGCAGUGAAACCCACUGAGAGCACAGGGGAGCAAGCUCCCUUCUUCCAAAAAAUUGGGGAACCUCAGAAAUGUGGAAUUGAGCCUUUCUCUAGCUAUGCUGAAUAGGGCCCUGCCUUAAUGGCCAAUAAGCAAAUAAAUUGUAAGUACAGGAUAGAGAGGAGGCAAAGCAUAGCCAAGAGUCUAACUCAGAUAGGAGUUUUGUUUCUGAGUAUCUUCAGAGUUUGAAGGAUUUUCCUCCUGUCCCCACCCUUCCAGGAAACCUAUAAGCAUCUUAGCUGGGAUAUAUUUGAGGCCGUUAAGCAAGGCUGUGUUUCUCUUCUAUUUGUGUUCUCAAACCGUGUUCAUCACCAUCGUAUCUGAACACUUUCCAGGUUCAGAGGUUAUUUUCUACUGUGUGUUAGUUUAAAACAAGAUCCAAGUGAUUAGCUCACUGGGUAACAUGAGGGCAUCAGGACAGUCAGAAUCAGACUGGUGAGUGGCUACAGACUGAGUCAAAGCCUGACAGGUUUCAGAGACCACUGCAAGGCCUAUUUGCCAAAGCUUUCCCACUCCAACCAAAGUCCAAUGCCAACUAAAUUAUAACCUGCUUACAAAAAAUAAGACCAAGCUGAGCUUCCCAGAACCUGCAGAGGUAGAGGGCAGAAUCCCAUUGUGAAGUCUGUAGUGGACAAAGACAUGCAGAUCUAAAUUACCAUGCACAGGCAAACCACGGGAAUGUUUGUGGUUAGAGGGAGUUGGCUUAGUUUAGUAUUCACAAAAGAUAUCUGGGGCCAACCCUGCUUCCUGUUCCUGAUUUUGUAUAGAGUAGCUAUCAAACAGAUGGAAAAUUGUGAAAUACACUGGCAGUACCAAACUGUGAUCUAUGUGCUAUAUUUUGGCUUGGGAAGGAGCAAAGGGGAGAAGGUUAGGAGUUGUUUGUGCCUUGGGACUGAUGGGAAGUCAGGAGUUAAAUUCUGUCCCGCGUUACACCCGUGGAAAUCAAUGGCUUGUACAGGGACUCCGGUGGCACAGAAUUUAGUCCUAGGCACCCAUACGAUCAUCAGUUGGAUUUUUGUUGCAGAAGUUUACUUUUGUUCAGUGUUAUUUUGGUUGUAUCCAGAUAUGUUUGGGGAGUUGUAUGAAUGAUUUACUAAGAAAGCGCUCUUCACAGUAAGGGCCUGAUUCAAUAGAACUGCUCUAAACCAGCUGACUAGAGAGGUAUUUUUUCCCCUUUCCAAAAUAAAAUUAAAAUAACCUUUGUUUUUAUGAAAUGUCCCCUCAGUCCUGUUACCCAGGGGCAAGAGUUCACAUCAUAAAACCCACACAACCUGCAGCGGGGAAUAACUGGUUCUGAGAAGCCAAGCAUUACAUGGAUAUAGACCAUGAAAUACCCUCUCACCCUAGCAUUAGUUCCUCCAAAUCCUGGUUGAGAUACAUCGGCAGAGCAUUGUGGGAGGAGCUUGCCCUGCAGCUUCCCAGGUGAUGUUCUGUACUGAGGCUAAAAUAGCAGUGAAGAUAUGGCAAUUUAGCUUUUUAGCAUGGGUUAGCAGCCCGAGUUCAUAUUACUGAACCAAUUGAAAUAUUGUCUCAACCCUAAAAUGAGAGACAACCACUGUGGUUUCCAUAAAGGUCAGUCUACAGUCCAUGCUAUAUGUACCUUGCAGAAUGUGAUGGGAAAACGACUAGAGUGACAAAAGGCAGUUGCCAUGUUUAUAGACUUUGCAGAUGUUUUUUACUCCGAUCAUCAAUCAGCACUGUGGGUACUGCUAUAUCAGUGUGGAGUUCCUGAGGAUGAUGGUAAUGACGUCAAGUGGGUGAACAGUUUUGUCUGUCUGGAUAGACAGCUGACAGCAGAAGGUUCAAUAACCAAAGAAGAAAAUGACUGCAGUGGUGGUGUCAUGUCCAGCAUGUAGAAGAAGAUAGAGUAGUUCUACAGAAGGUUUACUGAGCUGAGGUCAAAGGAAGAAGAGUACAAGAUCACCCACAGAUGAGGUGGGAAGAUGCAGUUUUGGAGGAUUUAAGCCUGUAUCCUCUCAGACUGACUGUUGACGAAGGUAGACAAUUUGCAAGGGAUUGUUUGAGAUGGAAAUCCAUUCAACAUGAUACCAUGGCCAUAAUAUAGCCAUGUGAAUCUGCUGCUGCUCCAGAUUCCCCUAUAGUUUUUAACUCCAGCUGUUAACCAGAGUUAAAAACCAAGUUUGUCUAUUUUAAGCCAAGUUAAGACUGUGGUUUUUUUGCAGUGUAGACAAAUGCACAUGUGUCUGAAUAAGGCAGUGAACUGCAGUUUCCAUGGCUAUCAAUCUGACUCCUUUCACAGGAGCUGAAUUCGCACAAAAAAUGGAAGUAUAAUUGAAUUGAGCUAGUUGGAAUCUGUUUAGAUUCCCGAAUGAAUCUAGUGUAUUGUUCGUUUCUAGGGAAGAGUGUCUGACUUCCUCAUCCAGUUAUAAGUACAAGCUUCCUCAUUUAAAAAAAAAACCCAAACAAACUUCACAUCACAGAACAUUAACCUCAGCUCACCUUAUGACUAGGUCAUGACUGUCCAAAGCAAUAUUAUUAUCGCUUAUCAUAUGCAAGCACUGCAAAGUUAAAGCAAGGAAGAAAGUUCAUAGAUUUAUAUUCAUUAUCAAAAUGAAGGAUCAGUUGCUUGAUCCAUCAGAUGAUUGACGAUAGAAAUAAUCCUUCAGUAAAGGCCGGGUCUUGUUCAGAUUCUGGUCCAGCGUAUAAGGCCCUGGACUGUGACUCAGGAGGUGUUGGUUCUGUUCCCGGCACUACCACUGGCUUUUGUGUGAUGUUAGGCAAGUUGCUUCGUCUCUUUGUGCUUUGGUUUCCCCUUUGUCUUUUCUAUUUAGAUUGCAAGUUCUUCAGGACAGGGCCUGUCUAUUACUAUGUAUUUGUAUAGUGGUCCCCUCAUGUUAUGGGGGCCUCUCAAUGCUACUGUAGUACAAAUAAUAAAUAAAGGUAGUAUUCCAAACUUCCCACAAGGGCUAGAAAAUCGUUCAUGGAUCAGUUUGUCCAUGUUAAUUGGUAAUGAUCAGAAUGCUGCUUCUUAUCAAUUACUUUGUGUUUUAUUUUUGUCAUGAGAUUUCAGUUAAUUCCAGCCUAACCUCUCUCAUAAAUUUAAAGUGGAAAAAAUUACUUGCAUCACUUUAGGUGAACAAAUUAUUACUGCAAGUUACCACAUUAGGAAGCGGCAGUGAAACCGUCUACCUGAGGGCAAAUCAGAACAAAUAUAAUCCAAAUGAUGUCAAAUUAGUGCAGCUAAGAAAUGUUAGUCCUCCAUCUUUUUGCUGAUCCUGCAGCAGAGAGGGCUGGGGAGACACCAUUGUCAUGAGAUGACAUGAGGGAUCUUUUUGAGUGGUGGCAAAUGAAUUUGCUGAAGACCCCAUAGCUUAGCUCUGCCCACACGCCUGAAUUUUUCAGCUGAUGCCACAACACCUUUUGUUUGUUUUAAAUUGCAGUUAGUACCACCUAAUCAGAACCUAGAUACAGUGGUACUCUAUAAGGCAUGUGCAGAGGAUCAGAACAAAGCCUGUACACCACUUUACAUCCCAUGGAAAUGCUCAGACUAGUCCUUAAAUGGUACAUAGUAGUGCACGGGGUGAAAUUCACACUGCGUGCCUAUGAGCUUGAUCCUGCAUCAUGGAAGUAAAUGGAAGUUUUUUCACUGACUUCACUGAGAGUUGGAUCAGGCCCUAUGACAGAAAAUCCCCCUGUGUUUGACUAACACUGCAAGCCACAUUCAUCCCUGUAAUAGUAUACACACUGAACCCCAGUUGCAACACAUCUAAAUUUGACUAUACCUAUAUUGUUCUUCUAUAAUGAACUGAGCUCAUUAAACUCAAGUGCCACAACAGCUGAAUUACUGAUCAAAAUGCCUGAAAACGAGCUUUGGUGUCAAAUCCGAUAACUACAUGUUUUUCUUUCCCCACCUUUUGAAAGUACAAACAUAACCCCGUUCGUUCCUUUUUAAUUUAUGCCGACUACUAGAGAAAUGACCUCUUAUAAAACUUACCUGAUCAGAGCCUGCGUUGGUAGGGUUCCUCCUUCAUGUGCCCUGCAUUCACGUGCCAAGUGCUGCCUCUUCAUGUUGUUUACCUGACCUGAUCCAUUGUUUCCAUCUCAUCUAAUUAGCCUGGAUUUCACUAUACAGAAUAAAGGCUUGCAGCAGCAACUGGCUGUGCUCAUGCACUAGGGUAUUUUAUAAUCUGCAGGUUUCAGAAAGAGAGGAGAAACUUUAUUUAAAAAAAAUCACUGAUAAAUUCACGUGGAGCAGCAGUUUGUAACCCUAUGUUAAAAGUAUGAUAUAGAUGGGAGGUGAGUUAUAGGGGCUGAUCCUUCACUGGAGUCAAUGGGAGUUUUGGGUUCAUGAAAAAUUUAGGAUUUAGCUCCCGUGGCCAGCUUCUCAUCUCAUAUAAAUCAGCGUGGCUUCAUUGACUUCAGUGGAGCUGUCCCAGUUUACAUCAGUGGAGCAUCUGGGCCCUAGAGUUUAAAGGGCCAAUCCCAUGCAAGCUUUCAGUCCAUUGGUACUGGGGGCACUCGGCAUCUUUCGUGCCUGGGUCUGAAGAUGUUCAGAUCUGCUCUGCCAUCAUAUUGUCCAGAGGUGUUCUACUCUUCUGCCACUGGCUUCAGUGGGAGCAAGUCAAGACCUAUGAGAAAUUGUGCAAUAUGAUUUUGAUUUAAAAAUUGUCAGUGUUGGAGAAUCUGCCACGAUCCUUGGUAAAUUGUUUCAGCGGUUAAUUAUUCUCACCGUUAAAAAUGUACGCCUUAUUUCCAGUCUGUAUUUGUCUACCUUCAACUUCCUGCCAUUGUUACAUUUGACAAUAGUUGCCUUCCCUUUGAGUAACUCGCAUAUUCAUUAACCUGAAGAAACGUAAGAUUUCCAUACUGCAUCGGACAGCUGAUACAUCUGAUCUGGCAUCCUAGCUUGAGCGGUGGCCAAUGCCUGACUGGGUCCAAAAAUAGCCACGGAACAAUGAAAAGUUCCAUUCCACACAUACAGCAGUCCUUGCCUGUUGUGGGACUCUUGACAUGGUGGAAGAUUCCUUCUGGAGGGCUGCAGCAGCCAGCGGAUGACUUUUCCGUUAGCAUGUCUGACCGCAAAAGAUAGUAUGAUCUGUAGCGUAACAUGACCCUGCUCUUUUUAAAAAAAAAAAAAAAAAAAAAAAAAAAAAUCCAGCCCGCUGUUUGUCUCCUGUUGGAUGGAUGAUUGAUGUGUACCUUAGCUUAACCGUGGGAGAUGGAGGUGCUCCGACGCACACGAGUUCACAAAAUGGAAAUGGGUGCUUUUAUCUGGUUUAAAUGUUAAAAAGUCUACACCGAGGUUGUGAUGCCUCAGAUGUGACCUGCCAUUGUUCCAGGCUGCAGAUUUUUAUUAUUGCUGUUUAUUUCCAGCUUGUUUCAGAUAGCAUGCACCCUGUGCUUGGGGCUGUACAAACACAAAGGAAGGUGCAAUCCCUGCUCCAAAGUACUUUCAAUCUUAAAACCUGCAGAGAAAGCAUAGGGGGAAAGAGAGUGCAAGCAACCAAGAUGCUCAUUGGCCAGGCCUUGAUAACACACAGGCUUUAUUUUCUAUUAGAUAUAUAGAGGUCACCCCCUCUUGCCAACCUUGUGGUGAUUAGGUCGUUAGUUCUUUGCAGGCCUCACAUUAGAAGUGGGUCUUCUGGAGGGAUUUGAAUGCAGAGUGGCAAUGGACAUGCAAACUCUUCAGUGGUCCAACAAAGUCACUGUUUUGUUUCUUUUUUUGUUGGAGGGGGGUUUAUGUUUUUCAGGAGAGUCUGGUUGUAUAAAGUUGGGCAGCAGACUAGAGAGCCUUUGGCUUCUGGGUGAACAGUUUUGAAUCUGUCUCAGCUCCGCAGUGACCAUCUGCUGGUUUUGUUUUGGUGGCCAUGGGUAAAUGAGAUUGGUGGAGCCAGGCCAGCAACCAGGGGGCUGGGAUCUAAAGAACGCUACCAUGGGUAGAUCUAGGUGACCCCUUGCUGGCAGUCUCAGCAGACAGAGCAAGGAUCAAAUGGACCAUGGAGACUGAGCUAGCUCUCUUGGUCUAUUGUCAGCUUUUUGGGGCAGGCAGCAACUUUUUGUCCGGUGUUUGCACAGCACCUCCCACAGUAGGGUCAGGGUCCAUGAUUCAUGCUCAUAGGCGCUGUGAUAGUAAUACUAGUAGAAGUGGUCUCUUCAGGUCAGGAUGGAGGCUCAUUAGCGGGGCCGACUAGAGGAAGCUUGCCUUGCUUGCGCGCUACCUUUUCUGUGUCUAGAGAAAGGACUUUUGUGCCCAGGGCUGUCGUUUGAGGAGGUGGCCUUCCAUUAGUGCCCACCAGCCCCCGGGGUUUACAUAGGCCAUCACCUUCCAUUAGGACUCACUUGCAAGUAAAAUAUUAUUGUUAGCCUUUGCUUUUGAAUCUUAGAUUUCCCAUUACAACUCCGUGACAUGAGACUAACCCUGGCCACACGGAGACUAAAACAGCCACUAUGGUUCUUGAAGUCACUGAAGUGUCAUGAGAAGGUGGAGAACCAGGGUGUUCAAAUGUUCUCCAGAAUGGCAGUUUGUUGAAACAAUGUUUAAUGUGUUAUGUGAUAUAAUUACACUUUGGAAACUCCAGAACAGGGCUCUGGCACAUACAGCAUUUUGACCCCGUCUCCUCGUUUACAUAAGCGAAGUGGUGUUCCGGACAUGACACUUUUCACUCAUUGAGUGAGCAGAUUAAGGUCACUGCCCAAACAGAUCUCUUGUUUCCUUAAAUAGCUUGGUACAGAUCACAGAUCUUCUGGUGACUGCUGAUGUUAACAAACAAGUGGAGGAAGGAAUAACUGCCAGGGAGGGCUGCUACCGAACAAGUGUCCAAGUCAAGUGCUUCUCUGCCAUUGCUUUUUCCAAUAUGGGACCGAAUGGAAUGGCCAUUGUCCACUUUCUGAUGGGGUAGUAAGUAUGACACUUCACGUGGGAUCUGUUCCAUAACUGGAGUCUCAGUGAACGAGUUCAGUUGCAGUUUUACACUGCAUGUAUUGUACUUACAUACAUGUGUGUACAGAACGCGUGUACCCAGACAUGCCAAAUUAAUUGCAGAUAAACUGUCUAAACAUUCACAACUACCACAUCACAUGCAUUUUAAAAGUCAGCCUUUGGGAUUUUACAGGUGCAAUGCUACAGGCAUGAGUUACAACCUUUCCCAGAUCCAUUGUUCACCUUCCUUCUAAUGCCUUGUUCCAGAGAAACAAAUGCUUGUGUAAAAAAGAUUUCAGUGAAAUUUUUCUGUGGCUGUUUUUGGACCCAGUUUCAUAUUUAAAACAAGAAAUGAAUCGCUAAGUUUACAUCUCUCCUAGGGCUGCCCAAACAGUGCCUUUGGGCUUUCUAGAAAGUCAGGGCUAGUGCAACCAGUUUUCUCUUGUAAUUCCUGUUUCUGAGGGGAAAGCAUUGCCUAAUGGUUAGAGAAGGAAGCAGUGUGAAUUAUAUAUCAUUUUGGCAAAGUCACUUGGCUGUUUCACUGUUUCCGUGUCUUUAAUAUGGGGCUAAUAAUACGUACCCAUUUCUAUCAAGGGCUUUGAGAUCCUCUGAUGAAAGGUUCUAUAGAAAGUACAAAUAUUAUUUUUGUAUUAUUAUCCUAAAGGGAUUCUUGUGUCUUUUCCACCUGGGGCACUGUUAAAAAUCUGCACCAGUCAUUAAAAGAAGGAAGGAGAAGGGAAAAAAGAGACUUUUGGAGGAGAAACAAAUGGGAACAUCAUCUUUCUCCUGCUUUUCAGUUAAAUUUCUAACAAGGCUUUCCAGGCACCGAUAGAAAGUACGGCAAUUCAGAAUCCAUGGUGAUAGAGUCAGCCCACCCAGAGAGCAAUGGUUCCAUCUGUCUUUCCAUCCCCCAAACCACCACAGGAACAGGCCACUGUAGGAAGCCCUGUGUUGGUGCCAUCAGAGGGGUCUUCUGCAACAGACUGAAUAUUUGCAUCCUAACUCCAAAGCCCCAUGGCAUAGAGCUGCAGAGUAUUUAAGGCCCUUUUUCAUAUAUGUAGAGUGUGUGUGUAUUGCAAAGAGAGUUUGUGAUGACACGUCAUAUGAUGUACUUGUAUAUGCACACAACUAUAUAUGUACCUUAUGUAUAUAUCUAUAAUUGUGUGUGUAUAUAUAUCUAAUUUAUAUUACUGUGUUGAAUAAACUCUUUAUAUAACCCGAUUUGUGUCACCAGAAAUUCUCAAGGCUUUUAUACCCUUGUAAAUUGCAGUUAAUUAGAUAUUAAUCUAUUAAAAUAUAACAGACAAAACAACAAUUAUUGCCUAUUGCAUUGCACCAGAGUGAUACAGAGCUUAAUCCUUGUUAUUCAAUGGGCUGUCGUUACAGGUGUGAAUUACAAUAUUCACUGGACAUGAUUAAUAAAUUAUAAAAUAAUAAAUGAGAGGGAUUCUGCAACUUUUAAAUGACCACCAGCAGAAAGUUCUAGAGAAGUGCGACCCCCCUCGCCCCCCCCCCCCCGGUGCCAUACUAAUAUUGAUGUUAUGUACUGACCCCGAUAUAAAGUAUUUUGGAGGAAAUGGAAAUAUGGGCAGGAUUUAGAGAGACUCUAGCAACUUGAAAACUUGUAGUUUUCCAAAGAUAAGCUAAAUGUAGGUUAUGGUUCUACUCCUGACUUUGAUUCCCCCUGCCAGCUUUUGAGGCCUCUACAGCACGCUCCUCUGUUUUAUAGUCAUGUUUUUUCUCUCCCCUGUUGCUAUGGGAAAGAUCCACACAAACAACAGGGGGAAACUGGCUUGCUUUCUUGAGGAAAAAAAUGAAACUGUUUAUACAGUUUGGGGAAAUAACACUUUUCUUCAAUCUCUUUCAGUUACGGUGAUCCUGAGUGUCACCUGUAACAUCGGUGGGAUUAAAAAAAUUCAGACAGAAGUUUGAUUAAAUUGAGAGCGGCCGUUUAAUCUUGGCAUUGGAUUAUUCUUUUUCCUAAUAACAAUACUAUACCCCUGAAAGGUAAUCCAGGGGCAGCCAAUAUACAGCCCCUGGUGAAAACAUGGCAUACGGAGUUCCAAGCGCAGCUCACCAAUGCUAAUAUUGAGGGCAUCCUGCAGAGACGACAGCUUCCAUCACGCCAUGAUUCAUCUUGAUCCAAAUAGCUGGGCUGCUCAGCUCACGAUAAAGUACAUCGUGCUGCACCUCAGCUUGAAAAAGGAAGCAGAUGCCAUCUAACUUAUUAUUUUAUAUAAGUUAGGUGCCCUCUGUUGAGCAGCAUUUUGACUCCCUUGAUAUAGUUCCGUCUUGGGGAUCCAGUUCCUAACAUUUAAGCUCUGCUGUCCUUGUGGUGUCACCUGGAUCCGCCGUUAGUCUUAGAAAGCCUGGCCUUUACUUUGCUCAUCUUCCCAAAAGCCAGAGAUGUUUUUAUUUAAAUGGAAAGCGCUAUUUAAAAAAAAAAAAAGCAUACGUUAAAUUUUCCAGACAAAACUCUUCCCCAGCAAAGAUGCAUCAUUUAUUUGUGUCUAACUUGUGUGUUUCUAGGUAACUGACCUAUUCUUGUUAAUCCUAGUGCAUUGUCCUUAAUUAGGUGACCCAGCACCGUCAGAAGGUCUGGCUGUCAGCUGCUGUUAAGAGAUUAGUCACUAGGAUGCUCUGGAAUUGAUCACAGCAACACUGUGUUUUCCCCUGCAAAUUGCUACACUGGGAGACAAAGGAAUCUGCUGGAUCUUAUUCUGUAUUUUUGUCCCUGAUGCUGCAGGGCACAAGAAUGAUCCUGUGAUCUGGGUGCUUUGUUGGUCUCUCUCGGUCAAUCUGCACUUUUGAUUUUAGGUAAGAUUUUCAAGAGCACCCAAGUGAUUUAGGAGCCUAAGUUCUGUUGAAUUGGUGUGGGACUGAGGCUUAUAAGUUUCAGAGGUCAUGUCUAUACCACAAACUGUGGUUGACACAAGUUACAUUAGCAUACAGGAGCCAGAAUUUGUGCAUCACUCAGGUGCAUGCACACUUGGCUGCUUUUGUGUCAGCACUGCGUGUGCUCACCAGGAGUGCUUGUGUCAUUGGAAAGUUAUGUUUGAAAGUGGCUCCUAAGUCACUUAGGUGCUUUUUGAACUUUUACCCUUUGUUUUCUCUUCCCCUCUUCUCCCCCCCAUCAUUGUAGUAGCUAAAAAAACCUGUCCGUUUGCAUUAUGGAAUCACAGGAAAACAUUUUAGGUACACAAAGGUCAGUGGAAACGAUAGUAAAGCAAGAAACCAUAACCUGUGAUGCUACUGUGCACAUAAAACUUAGUUCCAUUAUUCUUUAGCACUGACAUUAGCUUUAUCCUCAGAAAAAUGUGAUUUUUUUCAACUUAUUCUACACUUGAAUAAUGCUUUAAUAGUACAUUCAGAGGAGAAGCUGCAGAAUGCUGAUCAGCUAAGAAUUAUGAAAACUUUCAUAAUAGGAAUGAGCCAUAAAUAAAACAGAAUUUUAAUUAAAAUAUUCUAUAGGAAAUUCUCUGCAGGGCUUUGCUCCUUAGACUUAAGAUACUAUAUAUAUUGUGAUUCAGGAUUCAUUAUCAUCAGUAGUUUUGUGCCUCUCUGCCACUUUCCCCUUGAAAAUCUAAGAGUGCUUUACGUACUGUGGAUUAAGUCUCACUUCAUUUUCCUCAAUUUACAGAUAGGGAAACCGAGGCAUAGACCUUGCAUGACUUGGCCCAUCACCCAUUGAGUCAUUGACUGAGCUGGGAAUAGAACUCAGGUUUCCUGAAUCCCAUUUCCAUGCUUUACACAUGGUAGCAUUUAAAUUGAAGCAAUGCUUGGGCAUUGCCUUUGCUCACAAUGCCCGGGAUGGCCUUGCCUCUCCCUUCGAGCAGAACGAGAUGACUCAGAGUCCAACUUCCCAUAUUCCCAGUCAUUUGCAAAUACAAAGGCAAGCCCAUAUACUCUAGAGGCUAUCUUUGCUCCAUAUUUCUUCGCCCUGGGUGUACUAAUUUGAAUCCCUGUGGGAGGCACCUCCUUCUGCUUGUUUUUGUUUCCCCCAUGACGUAUACUAGCAUCAGCCAUCAUCUGACUUUUUGGCAUCUUCUGCACUUUCUCUCCCUGUGCUGUGGUUUUCUUUUAUCCAGCCAGUUUUAUUCUCUAUCUUUCUGGGACAAUCUCAACUGCUUUACUUCUCCACAGAUUCCCUGGGAUGGGACCAAAUUGCUCAGAGCUCUAGUACAGAGGACACGAACUGUGGGCUGUUUGUCUUUAUUUUGUUGGUAGUAGGGGCGAGUAGUCCAAUAUUGCUACUUAAGAUAGGGCUGGCCCCGUUGUGAGUUACCUUGUUUGCUUUCUGUUCUGGGAGAGGAGGAAAGUUCCUGAUGGGAUCAACUGUGCCAGUGUGGUAGAAGUGUCUCCCGUUACAAUUAUAUUAUGCAAGUAGGGAGAGGAGUGAAACAAUUAAUGUGUGUUUGUUCCUCCCACCCCAUAAACUUUGGGGACAUUCGGGUCUCAGAACCUCAUUGUUGGCAUUUAUCAGUGGGCUGAACCAAAACACCAGAUACAGGAACCUAGGAAUUGCCAGACUGAAUCAGAUCAAGGUCCAGUGUCAGUACCAGAUGCUUCAGAGAAAAGUGUAUGAAACCUGUAGCAGGUAGAUGUAGAAUAAUCUAUCCUCACGUUAUGUCUCAUCCUGAUGAUCUGUAAUAGUCAGAGAUUAGCUUAAGCACUGAAGCAUAAGGUUUAAUAUCCCAUCCAAAAUUUUUGUUACCUGAAUAUCAGUUUGGCUGGGUUUUGCAGGAUCCAGCUCUGACAGUGAGAAGAAAGGCUUUUGUUUAGCUGCUUUUUGCUUCUCCUCCCUUAGUGAUUCAAUCUAUUUCAUUCAGAGAACCAUGUUGGCCAUCAAAGGCAGAUUGGAUCCUGGCUCAUACAGGUACUGGGGCAGGGACUAUCUUUUUGUUAUGUAUGUGCACAGCUCCUGGCACAAUGGGGCUUUGAGUGCAAACACAAUCUAAAUAAUAAUAAAAGUUUCCCUUCCCUCACCACUGCUCUCCUCUACGCCCUUGUCCCCUCUAGUUUCUAGUACAGGAAGCACUCUGUAUAGAUAGAUAGCUAGAUCUGCUCCAUCAAACUAGAAAGAAUAGGAGUGACUGUUCCAAAAAUUUAUUUAAUCACCAGCUUGAGUCUCCUUACUAAAGUGGUCCUCUGGCAGCGCUGUUCCUGCAGCACGGGAGUUGCUCACUUCCUGAAAACACCAUGCUGGCUACAUAUGUGCAAUCACACCCUAAUAUAGCAAACCUCUUUGGUUACCAUCCCCAUCCAGUGUGUUAAGGGAAAAAUAGGUGACAAGGCCACUAACAAAUGACAAAUUCAGGUCUGCAUGCUCCAUAUAUGAUCUUGUGCCCCCUCACCCAUAGUCAGACUGUGGCUCAUGUAGCCUUCUUGAAAGAAUGUGAAAGGUAGCUGGCAGAUUGUCUAUUUGUAUGUAAUACAAUAACCCUGCAAGAUUCAGGGAUUGGUGAUAGAGCGAGGGAUAGGAUGGGAUGGCUGACUAGGCUCUGCUUUUGAUUUCUUCCUUUGGCCGUACAUUUUGUUAAGAACAGAAGAACGGCCAUACUGGGUGAGACCAAUGGUCCAUCUAGCCCAGCAUCCUGUCUUCUGAAAGUGGCCAAUGCCAGGUGCUUCAGAGGGAAUGAACAGAACAGCUAAUUAUCAAGUGAUCCAUCCCCUGUCACCCAUUUCCAGCUUAUGUGAAUUUUAGUGCUUGUAUAAAAAGCUGGCUUGACAGCCCAGGAAACUGACGUCCCCAAGUGGUCAGUGGCAGCACAAGCUUACCCCAUCAGGAGCGAGAGGAGCGUUCGGUCUCUGGAGCUCGGUCAGUCCUUGAUGUCUCUGCUCAGGCUGCCAACAAACUGGGGGGGGACUUAGUGUCAGUUGUGGUGGUUUGUGUAAUAUAGACCCUUAUCCUCCAGGAGCAGGGACACCAGACAGCCAUCAGCUGGCAGUCAUGUUCAGUGACUCCCAAAUGAAAACUGAUCAGCUACCAGAGCCAUAGAUUUUUGCCUUUCCUUAGAUGUGAUGCCAUUUUAGCACCCAAUCAAAAGCAGGUGGAAACAAAUGUAAGUCUUCCUAUUAACUUUGUAGGGCUUUGGCUCCGGCCCUUAAUGAUCUCAUAAUCUGCCUGGGGAGAAUGUAGAUGCCAGUUUUCACUGAGUCAGAACUGCCUCUGAAACCAGCAAGGAAUUUGCAGUGGUACAAAUUGCUGGACGUAGGUCUGUGUGGUUGAUUGUAAUUGUGUGCACGUGCACAUGUAUGUGGUGUGUGUGUGUGUGUGUGUGUAUUUCCCUAAACAUUGAAAUCUGCAGCAGCAAAGAGGUUACUUGGACAGUUCUUUUUCUUUGCAUAAUAAUGAUAUUGUGGUGCAGAGACAUGUAUUUUCCUUUCAGUAGCAGGAGGCUAAAGAAGUAGGAACUUUCACUGCUGCCACGGCAAGAUUUCAUCUGUAAAAGCCAGCUGAAUGAAACAGUUGCUAUAGAAACCCUAGUUUUUGUUCCCUUGGAAACCAGCUGGGGGUUUCACACAUGCAGAGUACUAAAUACAACUCGUACCUCUGCUGCUGGGCCUGAUCAUGCCAAGUACUGAGUGCUGUACCGUGCAGUCCUGGGGACUUCAUUGACUUUCGAGCCUGAGUCUGCACCUGUUGAUGUCAGUGGGAAUUGGGCCAUUGACUUCAGUAAUAGCAGUUGGCCCUUUGUAUGAGGACUAAGGACAUAUUAUAACCCUGGACUCAGAUAAUUAGUCUUUAUUAAUGUGAGCCAUCCCAGUUAGGUAAAGGCAGCAACUAGUGUGACCGAGGACUUAGAGAACAAGCCCUUAGUUUUCAUGCUCUUCUUACUCAGGUAAAAUCCCACCCUAUGGAGAAGUCCUAUAGAGACAGCUGUUCUCAACCUAGGGGGUCUGGGGCCCCCUAGGGGGCCAUGAGCAGGUUUCAGGGGGUCUGCCAAGCAGCACCAGUGUUAGACUCGCUUGCGGCUCAGGGCAGAAAGCCGAUACUUCACCGCAUAGGGCUGAAGCCCGGGGCCUGGAGCCCCGGACACCUGGGGCUGAAGCCAAAUCCUGAGCAAUGUAGGUUUGUGGGGCCCCUGGGGCAUGGGACCCCAGGCAGUUGCCCUGGCUUUUAUAUGCAGAAAACCAGCACGGGGGGAGGGGGUGAGUUUUUAUAGCAUGUUGGGGGUGGGCCUCAGAAAGAAAAAGGUUGAGAACCCCUGCUGUAGAAUGUAGUAGGAGUGAUUGGUAUAGAACUUAACAGAGAAUUUAGCAAGAUUCAGAGAGAUUAGGCAUUUGUAUGGAUAACAAAAAUAUUCAGUUGUUAUAUUAAUUCUGAAAUAUUGCAAAAAUAUAAAACCUCAUGCUCUUAAUCCCUAGAGCUAGGCUUGUGGGGGACAUAUUAUCAAACUGCUUCCUAGAGGGUAGGUUUUUUGCACCGUCACCUGAAGCAUCUGGUUCUGGCCACUGUUGUCAGACUGGAAUUGCUUCCAGUUCCUAUGAGAAUGAGAUUUUCUUUCUGUUGGCUUUUGGUUAUUUUCAAUCAUCCUAUCAAAUUCUACAGCAGGGAUAGAAGUCUCUAUUCAGUGCUGCAUGGUUCUGAAGAAACCUACAGAAUUGAUCAUUUUCUGUUAAACGGUGUAGCAAUUUGCCAUGUAGGGUUGAUUUCACCGGGGAGUUUCUCUGAGUAAAAACCGAGUAAGAAAGUCACGGUUUGGCAUAGUGGCACAACUCUCAUUAGUAAGGACUGCAAAAUCGGGCUUUAAAUUAACAGUCAUUUCACGAUCACUCUGCUGAUGAGGCCUUCUGAAUCGUCUGACGCCUAGUAAUGUAGCACAGCAGCCAAAACGUGCUCUUGGAAAAGCUCGUGAUUGGAAGUGUGUUUGUAAAUUGCUAAUAUAAUGUAUGUAAGGGAAGCAUUUUAUUGACACCUUUUAAACUUCCUGGAUGCUGAGUAUACGGCUAGUGUUACUCUGGAGGUGAAACGCAGAGGAAGUAUCAGGACCUUAUUUUCAUCCAGACAUAAGAAAGUGAAUCACAGCUAGCUAUAAAAUGGAAAUAUUUGUACAGUGACAAAAGGCUGUUGCUGUGUAUUGACAGCAGUUUGUUUCUGGGUUUAUUUACCAAAUGAUGGCUGGCGAGAGGCACACAAGGACCCAGUGGCAUAGCUAAGUGUGGAAAUUCAGGUGGGCCCCGCCUUUCGGGUGGACGGGCAAUGACGGACAGUGCUAGCUCACCGUCUCCCCCGACGCCAUGCCCUCUGCCUAGCCCUGGUGCCCCCAGACACAGGGCUUCACCUGCUGAGCUGGGCAGGUGCAUGGGGCGGCUGAGAAAAUGGCAAGGCAGAGCAGCCGGAGCAUAGCUUUCUGAAGGGCGGGCGCAUAGCUCCGUCCUGGAUUUUGGGUGCCUGAAUGACGCUCUGGGCCGCUGUAGCAGCACUGCACCCCUCCUCAGAUUUGAGUGGGCCUGGAUGCUAAGUGGGUGGGCCACACCCCUGCAAGGACCAUGUUAGCAGCCUUGAAACACGGAGAAGAAGGAACGCGAAGGGGCAAUACAUUACGACUGGUGUCGCAUUGUGUAUUUGCUGCUGUGAAUGUUGUGCUUUUUUGGUUUAAUAAUCCAUUUGGGGGAAGGCUGCCCUGAACCUGCCUGUUGCAUGUCAAGGAAGAAAAUCUGACUCUUGUGGGGCAUGAAAACCCACAGACACGUUCAGGUUCUAAUUUGGUGGACGUCCAUUUAAACAAAAUACAAAAGGGUCUAGUUCUCCUUGUGCGUUUGUCUUCAUUUACCGCUGUGCACAGUGGCUGUAAUGUGCUAC